rnacentral:rRNA from 1 species
UACGUAGGGUGCGAGCGUUAAUCGGAAUUACUGGGCGUAAAGCGUGCGCAGGCGGUUCGUUGUGUCGGUGGUGAAAUCCCCGGGCUUAACCUGGGAAUGGCCAUGGAAACUGGCGAACUGGAGUGCGGCAGAGGGGGGUGGAAUUCCUGGUGUAGCGGUGAAAUGCGCAGAUAUCAGGAGGAACACCGGUGGCGAAGGCGGGUCUCUGGGACGGUACUGACGCUGAGACGCGAAAGCGUGGGGAGCAAACAGG